ACUGGUGCUCUUUAACAUCUUCAUCAAUCACAUUAACAGUGGAGUUGAGUGCACCCACAGCAAGUCUGUGAAUGACACCAAGCUGUGUGGUGCAGUCAACAUGCUCAAGGGACAGGAUGCCAUCCACAGCAACCUGGACAGGCUCCAGCAGUAGGCCCAGGUAGAAGUUCUCCAAACGAAGCAGAAGAACAAAUUCAUGACAAGCCCUUUGUAAUCUGAGAAGAGAAGGUGAAAGGCAUGGACAACCAAUCCCCCUUCUCCCAGAAUCAGGAACUGAUGUGCAGCUAUUGAUGAAAGCAGCUGGGUGCAAACUGCAAGGAAAAAAACUGAACCACACUCCUAGGCCACAAACUAUUUCAGAGGCAGUAAUGACAGUUAAGCAUAUUUGAAAGCUGAUAAAGGUGAGCAUCUUUCAAGAUCACCCUCUUUUUC